GUAGCGAGCGUCAGGGGUCCUGAGCUGCCUCCGAGCAUCCUCUGGUUUUCAGCUCCCUUUCGUGGAGCUGGGCAACGAGGCCAUUCCAGGCACUUGUGGCAGUGCCAGAAACCUGCACUGCUUGCACAGGGCGUCCUGGUGGCUCUGGGGACAGUCGCACCAAGCAGAGCCCGAGCUGGCGGUGUCACCGACGUGAUCCUCGUCUUGCUGACGUGGCAUCUCCAGUCUGCACUUCAGGGGUCGCAUACAAUUACAUCUAAUGACCUUGGUCUGGCUGGCUGUAAGCGUGGGAGAACAACUGAGUAUGGCCAGGGGUGCUGUGAACCGGGGGAGGUUGCUUUGGGGGGAGCAUUAUUUCCAUCUGUCAACCCUUUCUGCCCUGUUCCUGUGUGCGUGCCAGCACCCGGCAGUGCCCAUGUGCUAUCUGGUGAUGGAGGCGCACCUGCCUGCCACGAGGCUCAAUGGGGCUUCACGGUCCACGUGGACAUCGCUGGGCAGGUACGACUGGACCUUGCUGAACUUCACGUCAAAGCCAGUGCCCUCCACAGCUUCUUCCACCACGUUUCUCUCCAGGCAGAGGCACGAGAAAACCUGCUUGUUGAAGGCGUAGUAGGUUUCCUGGAGGACAGUCACCAUCACCAGGUGCCCCCCGGCUUCACAAGGGCACUGACGUUUCUCAGGCCGCUGCGGAAGGUGGCCAGGUCCUUGCAGGUGGCCUCCAAGUGGAGGGUGGAGAGGAGGCAGUCGGCAAGAGGCAGGGACACGGGGUCUGCGGGGUUGGCUGUGGUCACAUCGCACUUCAGAACCUGCCUCACCUUCUUUCUCAGUUUCUCCUCUUUCGCAGCCCACUUCUCCCCAGCAAGUAGACAAAAAAUAAAUAUAUG
rnacentral:lncRNA from 1 species